rnacentral:lncRNA from 1 species
CAUGUACAGCUGAAUCGCACAGAAUUUGAAGAUCAAGAUGAUGAAGCCAGAGUUCCAUAUGAGGGUUUUCGGCCUGGGGUGUACGUCCGCGUUGAGAUUGAAAAUGUUCCCUGUGAAUUUGUGCAGAACUUUGACCCCCAUUACCCCAUUAUCCUGGGUGGCUUGGGCAACAGUGAGGGAAAUGUUGGAGACGUGCAGAUGCAUCUGAAGAAACAUCGCUGGUAUAAGAAAAUCCUCAAGUCCCGAGAUCCAAUCAUAUUUUCUGUAGGGUGGAGGAGGUUUCAGACCAUCCCGCUCUAUUAUAUCGAAGACCAUAAUGGAAGACAAAGGCUUCUAAAGUAUACCCCACAGCACAUGCAUUGCGGAGCAGCCUUUUGGGCCUGAUUUUCGGAUAGCUGCCACAGGAGUUGUCCUUGAUCUGGAUAAAUCCAUAAAAAUUGUGAAGAAAUUAAAGCUAACUGGUUUUCCAUAUAAAAUUUUCAAGAACACUUCAUUUAUUAAGGGAAUAUUUAAUUCUGCCUUGGAAGUGGCCAAAUUUGAAGGUGCUGUGAUUUGAACUGUCAGUGGGAUAAGGGGGCAGAUCAAGAAAGCACUCUGUGCUCCAGAAGGAGCUUUCCGGGCCAGCUUUGAGGAUAAGCUGCUGAUGAGCGGUGAGUUAAAUUACCUCUUUUCAGAUAUUGUCUUCAUGCGAACUUGGUAUCCUGUUUCCAUCCCAGCCUUCUAUAACCCAGUAACAUCUUUGUUGAAACCAGUGGGUGAGAAAGACACCUGGUCAGGAAUGUGGACCACGGGCCAACUCAGGCUCGCCUAUGGUGUCAGACUAAAGGCAAAUAAGGACUCUCUGUAUAAGCCAAUCCUGAGGCAAAAGAAACAUUUUAAUUCACUGCACAUUCCAAAAGCCUUGCAGAAGGCCCUGCCAUUUAAGAACAAGCCCAAGGCCAGGCGCGGUGAUCCUCACACUGCUGGAUGCUCUGAGUAUGGUGCACAGUCAGAAGAUGAAGAAGGCCAAGGAGCAGCGGCACCUGCACAAUAAAGAGCACUUCAGAGCCAAGCAGAAGGAGGAGGAGGAGAAGCUGAAGUGGCAGAAGGACCUCAGGAAGAAGCUCUUCCAAAUUCAGGGGCAGAAGGAAAGAAGAAACCAGAAGUCCAGUUUGAAGGGGGCUGAGGGCCAGUUUCAG